rnacentral:misc_RNA from 1 species
GCAAACUUGGUCAUUUAGAGGAAGUAAAAGUCGUAACAAGGUUUCCGUAGGUGAACCUGCGGAAGGAUCAUUAACAAUGUCUGCGUCGAGCCUUACCGGUUCGGCCGGAAGAUAUAACGCCGCCGGCUCCUAGCGGGGUCGGUGGUAUUACAUCUCCCACCCCUUGUGAAACUUAACAAUUGCUUCGGCGGCACCUCCCGAGAAAUCGUGAGGGUAAGGCCGUCAGAAGCCCACAACGGAACUAGUUUAUGAAAUGUCAUGCUGUCUGAUGCUUUGCAAUUUGAGAAAUUAAAUAUUAUUAAAACUUUCAGCAACGGAUCUCUUGGUUCCCGCAUCGAUGAAGAACGCAGC